GGGCAGGAAGCGGAGAAACAGAGACCCGCCCCCUUUCAAAGAACCUGAGUCCGGGCAGGGAAAGUACCAGAUAAGCUUGAAACAUCUUGUUACACCAGAAUGUUUCCUGUGGAAACACAGGAGAUGUUUCCAGUCACACAAACCUGGAUCUGAGUUCAGGCUCUGAGAAAAAGAAAAGCAAUCUCUGAUAUCUAGGAGCUGGCCUGGCACUCACAGCACACUAAGGCACUUAUGGACCAUAAAAGCACUGUUGGUGAUGUUUGCAUUUAUCCUGCUAGGACCCAGCCUGGAUUUCAUAUUAUUUAAUGCUUACAACAAAUUAUACUGAAUAAAAAAUAUUCAUUCAGUGGGAAAGAAUAAAAUAAAUAGAAAUGUUCUGAUUUCUUCCUCUGCUUGCUCUGAGGAUCCCAACGGUUCUCAUUUUAAUAGCUCUAACAUUUCUCCUGCCCCGUCCCCUCCUCUCCCCUUACCCUUCUAAUACUAACACUAAUAUUAAUACUAAUACUAGCAGCUAAUACUUGUUGAAUGUUUAUUGAUGUGCUACACAUUAUGCUAAGGGUUUUGUGCAAUUUAAUCCUCACCUUCAAAUUGUGAAGUAAUACUAUAUAUGAGGAGCUAGAGGCCCAGAGAAGUUAAGCAAUAUACCCAAUGCCAUACAACUGGUAAGACUCAAGCUCAAGAUUAGACUCUGCCUACAAAACCUACUCCUGUUGAAAUGCUGCCUUACCACCCAGGGCCAGAGAGUAGGGUCUGUGAAGGGAUGGAAGGAGGGGUGGGCUGGGAAGGAAGAAAAAGGUGGGGGGGGGAUGGUAAUCCAUGCAGAGGCAUUCAGAUCUUCUCCAGAGUACAAGGGGGAGAGGUGGAGGUUAGGAGUAUAAGACAAAUAGGAGGCCAGUGUAGAGUCUCAGAGGGAUCAGGAACCUCAGUCAAGGAGUUUGGGGGCCAGGAAGGUUGAAUGGUGGGAAAAAAAAAAGUAAUUAGGUGGGAGAAAGCUGUGAUUAAGGACUUGAGGCCUCAGGUGUAUAUCUGCCAGGUGAGGAGAAGCCAAGAGUCUGGUACCUUCUGGCUUAUUUGAUCUGUUGAGGCUCAUAGGUCCUUGCUCUUCUCUGAGCCUGUUUUUUCUUCUGUUCAGUGCAGGGAGAGAAAAUUUCAGGAUCCUAGGAACCAGCCCAGUUCUGUUAAGGUAGCAUCACUUUUUCCUCCAGUCUCCUCACAUGACAUAGGGAAGAAUGUUCCCUGGGCACGGCACAUCACCCACCCUCAUCCCAGGUUGGGGUCAGUCUCCCCUCAUGGGUAUACGAAGCUCAGAGAGGAAGACCAUGUCUGUAGACAGAAGGGUGAAUAUGCCAGAUAAAGUGUCCCUUAAUCCUACUGAACUCAAUCCUUCCACAGAGAAGGUUGGCCAGUUAGGAACAUGGCCUCAUUUGUUACCCAACCUGAGGCAAAUGUGCAAAUCUUGCUGCAUGGCCUUCAGGCACGUUACCAAAUGCCUGGGCCUUAGGCUCCUUUCAUUCUCUGAGCUUGGGUCCCAAGGUUAGGAUGAAGCU